AGGGCACCACCAGGAGUGGAGCCUGCGGCUUAAUUUGACUCAACACGGGGAAACUUACCCGGCCUGGACACUGGAAGGAUUGACAGAUUGAGAGCUCUUUCUUGAUUCAGUGGGUGGUGGUGCAUGGCCGCUCUUAGUUGGUGGAGCGAUUUGUCUGGUUAAUUCCGAUAACGAACGAGACUCUAGCCUAUUAAAUAGGCUCUCGGCUUUUAAACGCCGGGAGGACUUCUUAGAGGGACAGGUGGCGGUUCAGCCGCACGAAAGAGAGCAAUAGCAGGUCUGUGAUGCCCUUUGUUGUCCGGGGCCGCACGCGCGCUACACUGAAGAGAUCAGCGUGCUUUACGUUCCUGCUCCGACCGGAGUGGGGAACCCAGUGAACCUUCUUCGUGAUUGGGAUAGAAGAUUGUAAUUAUUCUUCUUGAACGAGGAAUUCCCAGUAAAUGCGAGUCAUAAGCUCGCGUUGAUUACGUCCCUGCCCUUUGUACACACCGCCCGUCGCUACUACCGAUUGAACGAUUU
rnacentral:rRNA from 1 species